ensembl:lncRNA
UAACGGGUCCAAUCAACGUUUUUUAAUGAUCAUUUGUCCCGUAAAGAAUAUCUUACAAUGUGACAGGACUGGAAUUCAUAAGAACAUCAAUAAAUACGGAUUAAUACUUGAGGACCAGAUUCACUCAGCCAGUCACGUCAUCGUCAUCGUCACACAGUCGUAUCUGUGCUUGUGCCGUCGGUCCCUGUAGCGCUGGUGCGUCCCGGGGGAGGCGAUGUGCUGUCAGAACUGUAAUGUGACACUUCAGGCUUCCCAAAGGAACGUCUCCUUUUGAUGAUGCGUCAGCAGCGGCCGUGUCUCUCCCGUCUGUCUGGUGAACGGGAGCAUUGGGAGCUGUAUGAAUAAGGUCCAUGGAGUCCAAGCAACAAACACGCCAAGAGUUUAAAGGAUUUUGGAAAAAAGUCCCACAGAUUAUUUACAUCACAGAGAGGAGAAGAGGAGGAGUGGAGAGGGGUGCUUUGUGGUCUCGGCUACUACGCGUCUGGACCCCUUGUUUUCCAUUCUCUCCGCUUGUAGCUUCCUUCCUAUAAGAGUACUGGUUUCUUGACAGUGACAAAAUGUUAACUCAGUUUAUAGUAUGCAACGCUCUACUGUACUGUACUGUAUGGAACCAUAUACAAAAAGGGGAAAUUAGCUCUUAACAGCUAAUGCUUAGAAAUCAUUUUAACAUUCCAGAUAAAACUAAUUCUGGGCUAUCAAGGGGAUUGUACAUCAAUUAGGACAGAUUAUAAACUAACAUGUCAACAUGGUUCCCAUAUCUAUGCACGAAGAAUACCUAGUGUUGGUAGAUAUGGGUAACAUUUUCUAUGCUAUGGGAAUAUCAUGUUAAACAAAAGGAAUUGAUCUUGGGGUCAAAACAACCACACAAACACACACAAUGUCAAAAGGGCGUUCUAGAGUUAAAACACACGGGGAGAGAGAACAACCCAAAUUAAAAUGAACCAUGAAAGGAAAGAGUUCAAAAAGCCAGCUUACAAAGACACUGAUGAGGGUAGCUAACAAUAAGCAAAUAUGCAGUAAGCCUAUCAAGUCAUGCUGCCAGUCUCACAGACAACCUAACUCGUACCUCAGACAGACUAACCAUGAAAUCAACGAGCCAUCUCAGUGACAGCAGAUGCAAUAGUCAUUCCCCAGUCUGAUCAGUUUGUCAUUGUCAGAAGGUUAACAUCUGAUAUGGGUAGUAUACAGUUGUACGUAGAAUACAUUCUCUCAUAAAAACAACCACAUUAUCAUAUGUACUAUAGCUGGUCUGGCUUUAUAGAGUAAAUAUCAUUACCCUUGACUUGAGACCUCUCCCAGGGUUAAUAUCAUAACAGGUGACACAUUACCCUCUAGCAGUCAGAAAGCAGGUUUCCUCACCACAGGACCGCGGCUAUGCUGAGAAUCCCAUUGGUUGAUGGCCUUGAGCCAGUCCUGACACAGUGGUGUUUCUGAUGCCUCUGCUGCUACAGAGCUGUCAUCUCAUUCACCAGCACACUGCGGUAGAAAGCAGCUUGUAAUGAGAUGACAGUGACCUACAGUAGAGAGCCGUGUUGCGGUUUAGUGUCGGGAUUACCUGCCCUUACUGGGCUACUGGCGACCAGCACCGAGAGGAGGGGAGAGGAGAGAGAGGACAGGAGGCAUGAAAUGAGGACAGGAGAGGAGGCGAGAGGAGAGAGAGGACAGGAGGCGUGAAAUGAGGACAGGAGAGGAGGCGAGAGGAGAGAGAGGACAGGAGGCGUGAAAUGAGGACAGGAGAGGAGAGAGAGGACAGGAGGCGUGAAAUGAGGACAGGGGAGGAGGCGAGAGGACAGGAGGUGUGAAAUGAGGACAGGAGAGGAGGUGAGAGGAGAGAGAGGACAGGAGCGUGAAAUGAGGACAGGAGAGGAGGCGAGAGAGGUCUAGGCAGAGAAGGAGAGAGGAGAGGAGAUGAGUGGUGGUUCCUGGCUGUUCCGCGGACACUGGCUCGUUUUCUGUUUAGCUGUUCUAAGAACAAUCUCCACUCAUCCACCUAUGCUCAUCUCAUAUUUGUUUGCUAUGCAUGCUUUCCUAAUACUAGUAAUACUAGUAAUACACACACACACACCCUCUGUUUAUACUAAAGUAGUGUAUGUAGUCAUUGAUGGAUGCUUGCUGCUAACACAGGGCUCAGAUGAACUAGAGGUACUCACUCCCUGCUCCUCUCUGCUCCUGCCACACUCCUGUCCUCCUUCUCACACUCCUACAACAGUGUAAAUACAAAAGGGCAAAGUUCUGCAUCAUUACAGCUUGUGCUUCAGAAAACUAACAGUUUCCUUCCUCUCCGGCUGCUCGUCUGUUGCUACCCGAGACAGACGACAGAAAGUGAACUUCUCCAUUGCUCUAACCCUCUGAUCCAAUCACAUGCUACCUGACUGCGCAUCCACUCAUCCACACACUCACGGUUUGCCGACCAUGCAGAGAUAUAGAUACUGCUCUGACGUAGUUCUAAGAAGAUCUCUCUCUAUAUGAGUAUGCAUCUGUGUGUUUCUGUAGACUACCCCCCCCCUUCUCUCUCUCUAUAUAUGAGUAUACAUCUGUGUUUCUGUAGACUACCCCCC